UACAGAGGGUGCGAGCGUUAAUCGGAAUUACUGGGCGUAAAGCGCGCGUAGGCGGCUUUGCAAGUCGGGUGUGAAAUCCCCAGGCUUAACCUGGGAACUGCAUUCGAGACUGCAUUGCUAGAGUAUGGGAGAGGGAAGUGGAAUUUCCGGUGUAGCGGUGAAAUGCGCAGAUAUCAGGAAGAACACCUAUGGCGAAGGCAGCUCUCUGGGACGGUACUGACGCUGAGACGCGAAAGCGUGGGGAGCGAACAGG
rnacentral:rRNA from 1 species